rnacentral:rRNA from 1 species
CCUACGGGUGGCUGCAGUGGGGAAUAUUGGACAAUGGGGGCAACCCUGAUCCAGCCAUGCCGCGUGUGUGAAGAAGGCCCUCGGGUUGUAAAGCACUUUCAGUGAGGAAGAACGCCUGGUGGUUAAUACCCAUCAGGAAAGACAUCACUCACAGAAGAAGCACCGGCUAACUCCGUGCCAGCAGCCGCGGUAAUACGGAGGGUGCGAGCGUUAAUCGGAAUUACUGGGCGUAAAGCGCGCGUAGGUGGCUUGAUAAGCCGGUUGUGAAAGCCACGGGCUCAACCUGGGAACGGCAUCCGGAACUGUCAAGCUAGAGUGAAGGAGAGGAAGGUAGAAUUCCCGGUGUAGCGGUGAAAUGCGUAGAGAUCGGGAGGAAUACCAGUGGCGAAGGCGGCCUUCUGGACUGACACUGACACUGAGGUGCGAAAGCGUGGGUAGCAAACAGGAUUAGAUACCCCAGUAGUC